AUCAGUAGUUUUUUAAUUGAAAACUUGUAUGAAGGGUUUAACGAAAUAUUAACUGUUUCAUAAAAAUUUAAAUAGAAAUUAAUUUUUUAGUAAAAAAGCUAAAAUAAAAUUAAAAGACGAGAAGACCCUAUAGAGUUUUAUAUAAUAAUUAUUAUAAUUUAUUUAUAAUAAUUUAAAUUUUAUUAAUAAUUAUAUUUUGUUGGGGUGACAAUAAAAUAUAUAAAUCUUUUAUUAUUUUUAAACAAAUAUUUUUGAUUAAUUGAUCCAUUUUUAAUGAUUAUAAGAUUAAAUUACCUUAGGGAUAACAGCGUAAUUUUUUUGAAGAGUUCAAAUCGAUAAAAAAUUUUGC
rnacentral:rRNA from 1 species